rnacentral:rRNA from 1 species
ACAGAGGCCUCAAGCGUUAGGCGGAAUCACUGGGCUUAAAGCGUGUGUAGGCGGAUCGUUAAGUGUCUUGUGAAAUCCCACGGCUCACCCGUGGAACUGCUGGGCAUACUGGCGAUCUUGGGCCAACUAGGGGCAGCCGGAACAAACGGUGGAGCGGUGAAAUGCGUAGAUAUCGUUUGGAACGCCAACGGUGAAAACAGCUCGCUGGGGGUGUGCUGACGCUGAGACACGAAAGCCAGGGGAGCGAACGGGA